rnacentral:rRNA from 1 species
UACGUAGGGGGCAAGCGUUGUCCGGAUUUAUUGGGCGUAAAGAGCGUGUAGGCGGUUUGGUAGGUCCGCUGUGAAAACUCGAGGCUUAACCUCGAGAUGUCGGCGGAAACCAUCUGGCUAGAGUCCGGAAGAGGAGAGUGGAAUUCCUGGUGUAGCGGUGAAAUGCGCAGAUAUCAGGAAGAACACCCGUGGCGAAGGCGGCUCUCUGGGACGGUACUGACGCUGAGACGCGAAAGCGUGGGGAGCGAACAGG